UAAACUAGGAUUAGAUACCCUAUUAUUGUAAAUGUAAAUUUAUUAAACUAAAUUAGUAUUAGUUAUUUUCUUGAAAAUUAAAAAAUUUGGCGGUAUUUUAGUCUUUUCAGAGGAACCUGUCCUGUAAUUGAUAGUCCACGAUUAUAUAUACUUUAGUUUUAAGUUUACAUAUCGUCGUAGAUUGAAUAUUUUAAUAGAAUUUUAAUAUUCAAAAGUUUUUAUUAAAAAAUAAAUCAGAUCAAGGUGUAGCUUAUAUUUAAGAAGAGAUGGGUUACAUUUAAUUUAUUUAGGGAUAAUUUUUUUAAAAGAAGUUUGAAUUUGGAUUUGAUAGUAAUUAAAUAUAUUUAUUUAAAAUGAUUAUAGCUCUAGAAUAUGUACACAUCGCCCGUCGCUCUUAA
rnacentral:rRNA from 1 species